AUUUUAAAGGACAGCCCUCUGCUGCAAAGAGAGUCGACCAGGAGAGCUCAGAGGUUCCCAGUGGUCAGUCUGCCCAGCAGCAU